AAGUCGAGCGAACCUUUUAAAGCUUGCUUUUGAAAGGUUAGCGGCGGACGGGUGAGUAACACGUGGGCGACCUGCCCUAUAGGUUGGGAUAACUCCGGGAAACCGGGGCUAAUACCGGAUAAUACAAUUUAACUCCUGUUAGAUUGUUGAAAGAUGGUUUCGGCUAUCGCUAUAGGAUGGGCCCGCGGCGCAUUAGCUAGUUGGUAGGGUAACGGCCUACCAAGGCGACGAUGCGUAGCCGACCUGAGAGGGUGAUCGGCCACACUGGGACUGAGACACGGCCCAGACUCCUACGGGAGGCAGCAGUAGGGAAUCUUCCACAAUGGACGAAAGUCUGAUGGAGCAACGCCGCGUGAGUGAAGAAGGUUUUCGGAUCGUAAAACUCUGUUGUAAGGGAAGAACAAGUACAGUAGUAACUGGCUGUACCUUGACGGUACCUUAUUAGAAAGCCACGGCUAACUACGUGCCAGCAGCCGCGGUAAUACGUAGGUGGCAAGCGUUGUCCGGAAUUAUUGGGCGUAAAGCGCGCGCAGGCGGUCCUUUAAGUCUGAUGUGAAAGCCCUCGGCUCAACCGAGGAGGGUCAUUGGAAACUGGAGGACUUGAGUGCAGAAGAGGAAAGUGGAAUUCCAAGUGUAGCGGUGAAAUGCGUAGAGAUUUGGAGGAACACCAGUGGCGAAGGCGACUUUCUGGUCUGUAACUGACGCUGAGGCGCGAAAGCGUGGGGAACAGACAGGAUUAGAUACCCUGGUACUCCACGCCGUAUACGAUGAGUGCUAAUUGU
rnacentral:rRNA from 1 species